AUGCCACCUGAGACUAAAGCAACAGCAAAGGAUCCAGAAGUACGAUACCCUCAAGCUGUUCACCUGCUCCUUCAGAGGGAAUGUCCAAAUCCUCUUUUUCCUGACUCACUGGGGCAGUUCUUUGUUAAUGCCAUGAAGUUCCUGCUGUUCUUGUUUUCUUUGGUGGCCUUUCAAAAAUGGGUCCAUUCCGAUGUUCAGCUUGUAUCUUCUGGGCCCAGAACAGUGAGACCUGGAGAGAACCUCCGUCUGCUCUGUAAAGUUACUGGUGUCUCCAUCACUGAUUCAAGUUAUGCUUGGAACUGGGUCCGUCAGCCUGCUGGGAAAGGUGUAGAGUGGGUUGCAGGAAUAUACCCCUAUGAUGGGAGAAAAUGGUUUGCUGCUUCUCUUCAGAGCCGUGUGACCAUUUCUUCAGACAACUCCAAGAACGAGUUCUCCCUCCAGCUGAACUCCCUGACAGCUGCAGACUCAGCCAUGUAUUUCUGUGCUCGAGAUACACAGUGA